GACGAACGCUGGCGGCGUGCCUAAUACAUGCAAGUAGAACGCAGGGGCGAACGGGUGAGUAACGCGAAGGUAACGGCCUCAUAGCGGGGGAUAACGAGUGGAAACGAUAGCUAAUAAAGCAUACAGUGGGAGGGACAGGCUUGGUAUUAGCUAGGUGGUGAGGUAAAGGCUCAUCAAGGCGACGAUACAUAGCCGACCUGAGAGGGUGAUCGGCCACACUGGGACUGAGACACGGCCCAGACUCCUACGGGAGGCAGCAGUGGGGAAUCUUCGGCAAUGGACGAAAGUCUGACCGAGCCACGCCGCGUGUGUGAAGAAGGUUUUCGGAUCGUAAAGCUCUGUUGUUAGAGAAGCGUUAUCUAACCAGAAAGCCACGGCUAACUACGUGCCAGCAGCCGCGGUAAUUC
rnacentral:rRNA from 1 species